rnacentral:rRNA from 1 species
GCACAAGCGGAGGAACAUGUGGUUUAAUUCGAUGAUACGCGAGGAACCUUACCUGGGCUUAAAUGUAGAGUGCAUUUUUUAGAGAUAGAAAUUCCCUUCGGGGCUUUCUGCAAGGUGCUGCAUGGUUGUCGUCAGCUCGUGCCGUGAGGUGUCGGGUUAAGUCCCAUAACGAGCGCAACCCUUAUCGUUAGUUGCCAGCUGGUAAAGCAGGGGACUCUAGCGAAACUGCCACCGUAAGGUGAGAGGAAGUGGGAUGACGUCAAAUCAGCACGGCCCUUAUGUCCAGGGCUACACACGUGUUACAAUGGCCGGCACAGAGGGCAGCUACCUGGUGACAGGAUGCUAAUCUCGAAAACCGGUCUCAGUUCGGAUCGAAGUCUGCAACUCGACUUCGUGAAGCUGGAUUCGCUAGUAAUCGCGCAUCAGCCAUGGCGCGGUGAAUACGUUCCCGGGCCUU